UUUAGGAAGUUUAGAAUUGAGGUCGCUAGGAUGCAUCGUGGUAAAAAAUCCAAUCAAAAACUGUGAAAGAACAUGCGCACAAACAUUUUCACGAGUGGUUUAAGGAAUAUGUUGCAAGAAAUGAUGGUGCAGAUAUAACACCUGAAAUUGAAUGGCUUGCAAAUGGACCAAAUAAUGUUGUAAGGAGAUUCAAGAAGUAUAACAUUUAUGGAUUUAAGUUUCGCACUGUGACGAAGGAGCAGGGAUUGAUAGCACAAAAUAGUGGUGUUGUUAUGUCUGUUGUUACCAAAAGAUUUUCAAGUGGUAGAGAAUCUAUUGAACAGUCAAGUGAUAAUAUGUACUAUGGAAAAUUUGUUGACAUCAUAGAGUUAAAUUAUUACGUUGAUGAAGAUUGGUGUUCUGUUUGUCAUAUGAAGCCUAGAGACAUAUAUGAUAUGGGAGAUGUAAAUUAUAUGGAUUUAGAGGAGCCA